rnacentral:rRNA from 1 species
GACGAACGCUGGCGGCGUGCUUAACACAUGCAAGUCGAACGGAAAGGCCCUGCUUUUGUGGGGUGCUCGAGUGGCGAACGGGUGAGUAACACGUGAGUAACCUGCCCUUGACUUUGGGAUAACUUCAGGAAACUGGGGCUAAUACCGGAUAGGAGCUCCUGCUGCAUGGUGGGGGUUGGAAAGUUUCGGCGGUUGGGGAUGGAUUCGCGGCUUAUCAGCUUGUUGGUGGGGUAGUGGCUUACCAAGGCUUUGACGGGUAGCCGGCCUGAGAGGGUGACCGGCCACAUUGGGACUGAGAUACGGCCCAGACUCCUACGGGAGGCAGCAGUGGGGAAUAUUGCACAAUGGGCGGAAGCCUGAUGCGGCAACGCCGCGUGCGGGAUGACGGCCUUCGGGUUGUAAACCGCUUUCGCCUGUGACGAAGCGUGAGUGACGGUAAUGGGUAAAGAAGCACCGGCUAACUACGUG